rnacentral:pre_miRNA from 1 species
GACCGUCUGUAGUUUUUUUGUGUAGUGCUCCGAGCCAAAAUGUGUUCGAAGCACCACGAGAAGCUGCAGAUGGAA